rnacentral:rRNA from 1 species
UACGAAGGGUGCAAGCGUUACUCGGAAUUACUGGGCGUAAAGGGUGCGUAGGUGGUUUUUUAAGUCCGUUGUGAAAUCCCUGGGCUCAACCUGGGCAUGGCAGUGGAUACUGGAAAGCUAGAGUGCGGUAGAGGGUAGUGGAAUUCCCGGUGUAGCAGUGAAAUGCGUAGAGAUCGGGAGGAACACCAGUGGCGAAGGCGGCUACCUGGACCAGCACUGACACUGAGGCACGAAAGCGUGGGGAGCAAACAGG